rnacentral:rRNA from 1 species
AGAGUUUGAUUCUGGCUCAGAACUAACGCUGGCGGCGCGCAUAACACAUGCAAGUCGAGCGAGAACGUCAGGCUUCGGCCUGAUUAGUAAAGCGGCGCACGGGUGAGUAACGCGUGAGUAACCUAUCCCCAAGCCCGGGAUAACAUCGCGAAAGCGGUGCUAAUACCGGAUAAGACCACAGGCUCCUAGGAGUCGGAGGUAAAAGAUUGCCUCUUCCUGAAAGCUGUCGCUUGGGGGCGGGCUCGCGUACCAUUAGCUUGUUGGUGGGGUAAUGGCCCACCAAGGCGACGAUGGUUAGCUGGUCUGAGAGGACGACCAGCCACACUGGAACUGGAACACGGUCCAGACUCCUACGGGAGGCAGCAGUGAGGAAUCUUGCGCAAUGGGGGAAACCCUGACGCAGCGACGCCGCGUGGGUGAUGAAGGCCUUCGGGUCGUAAAGCCCUGUCGAGUGGGAAGAACGGUUUCCAGGCCAAUAACCUGGAUACUUGACGGUACCACCAAAGGAAGCACCGGCCAACUCCGUGCCAGCAGCCGCGGUAAUACGGAGGGUGCAAGCGUUGUUCGGAAUCACUGGGCGUAAAGGGCGCGUAGGCGGUUGGGUAAGUCGGAUGUGAAAGCCCUGGGCUCAACCCAGGAAGUGCAUUUGAUACUGCCCAUCUUGAGUACGGGAGAGGGAAGCGGAAUUCCGAGUGUAGAGGUGAAAUUCGUAGAUAUUCGGAGGAACACCGGUGGCGAAGGCGGCUUCCUGGACCGAUACUGACGCUGAGGCGCGAAAGCGUGGGGAGCAAACAGGAUUAGAUACCCUGGUAGUCCACGCCGUAAACGGUGAACACUAGGUGUAGCGGGUAUUGACCCCUGCUGUGCCGUAGCUAACGCGUUAAGUGUUCCGCCUGGGGAGUACGGCCGCAAGGUUGAAACUCAAAGAAAUUGACGGGGGCCCGCACAAGCGGUGGAGCAUGUGGUUUAAUUCGACGCAACGCGCAGAACCUUACCCAGGCUUGACAUCCCCUGACAACCCUUGAAAGAGGGCCUUCCCUUCGGGGACAGGGUGACAGGUGCUGCAUGGCUGUCGUCAGCUCGUGUCGUGAGAUGUUGGGUUAAGUCCCGCAACGAGCGCAACCCUUACCUCUAGUUGCCACCAUUAAGUUGGGCACUCUAGAGGGACUGCCUCGGUUAACGAGGAGGAAGGUGGGGACGACGUCAAGUCCUCAUGGCCCUUAUGCCUGGGGCUACACACGUGCUACAAUGGCCGGCACAAAGGGCAGCAACCCCGCAAGGGUGAGCAAAUCCCAAAAAAACCGGUCUCAGUCCGGAUUGGAGUCUGCAACUCGACUCCAUGAAGUUGGAAUCGCUAGUAAUCGCGGAUCAGCACGCCGCGGUGAAUACGUUCCCGGGCCUUGUACACACCGCCCGUCACACCACGAAAGCUGGUUGUACCAGAAGUAGCUGGGCCAACCCCUCGGGGAGGCAGGUUCCUAAGGUAUGGCUGGUGAUUGGGGUGAAGUCGUAACAAGGUA